rnacentral:rRNA from 1 species
GACGAACGCUGGCGGCGUGCUUAACACAUGCAAGUCGAACGGAAAGGCCCUGCUUUUGUGGGGUGCUCGAGUGGCGAACGGGUGAGUAACACGUGAGUAACCUGCCCUUGACUUUGGGAUAACUUCAGGAAACUGGGGCUAAUACCGGAUAGGAGCUCCUGCUGCAUGGUGGGGGUUGGAAAGUUUCGGCGGUUGGGGAUGGACUCGCGGCUUAUCAGCUUGUUGGUGGGGUAGUGGCUUACCAAGGCUUUGACGGGUAGCCGGCCUGAGAGGGUGACCGGCCACAUUGGGACUGAGAUCCGGCCCAGACUCCUACGGGAGGCAGCAGUGGGGAAUAUUGCACAAUGGGCGGAAGCCUGAUGCAGCAACGCCGCGUGCGGGAUGACGGCCUUCGGGUUGUAAACCGCUUUCGCCUGAGACGAAGCGUGAGUGACGGUAAUGGGUAAAGAAGCACCGGCUAACUACG